GCUACGGGGUGCAGCAGUGAGGAAUAUUGGUCAAUGGACGCAAGUCUGAACCAGCCAUGCCGCGUGCAGGAUGACGGCUCUAUGAGUUGUAAACUGCUUUUGUACGAGGGUAAACCCCGAUACGUGUAUCGGGUUGAAAGUAUCGUACGAAUAAGGAUCGGCUAACUCCGUGCCAGCAGCAGCGGUAAUACGGAGGAUACGAGCGUUAUCCGGAUUUAUUGGGUUGAAAGGGUGCGUAGGCGGUUUGAUACGUUAGCGGUGAAAUGUCGGGGCUCAUCCCCGAAACUGCCUCUAAUACUGUUGGACUAGCGCAUAGUUGCGGUCGUCGGAAUGUAUGGUGUAGCGGU
rnacentral:rRNA from 1 species